GCCCCCUUCCUGGACUCGGCGGCUCUGAACACACACCCACCCGUCACCACCCGCUACCUGCCCUCGCCCCUGCGGCCCCGGCCCGGACUCUUCAGCAUCCUCUCCCGGCGCCCGCGAGGAGCCCAGGUGAGCCUGACCAGGACGAGGCUGUCGUGGCACUAGGGGGUGGAUUAACUUUUCUUAUUACUGAACCAGAACAUGAAAGGAAAGCUGGAGAAGAGGUGUACAACAUAGUGAUUAGACAAUUCUGUAC